rnacentral:rRNA from 1 species
GUGCCAGCCGCCGCGGUAAGACGAACCGAGCGAACGUUAUUCGGAAUCACUGGGCUUAAAGGGCGCGUAGGCGGGCCCGAAAGUCAGGGGUGAAAGCCCACGGCUCAACCGUGGAAGUGCCUCUGAUACUUCGGGCCUCGAGGGAGGUAGGGGCGUGCGGAACUUCCGGUGGAGCGGUGAAAUGCGUAGAUAUCGGAAGGAACGUCGGUGGCGAAAGCGGCGCGCUGGACCUCUUCUGACGCUGAGGCGCGAAAGCCAGGGGAGCGAACGGGAUUAGAAACCCUCGUAGUCC